rnacentral:lncRNA from 1 species
GGAAGUUGAGACUGCCACCUGAACACUUUGGGCUCCUCAUGCCUCUGAAUCAACGGGCAAAGAAGAGAGUUAUAGAUCCUAACCACCCAGGAGAAAUUCGGUGGCCACUACACAAACAGACUUUUCUGACUCUGCGGCCAGGUGUUUGUAUUUAACUCCACGGUGAGGAGACUCAUCUUCUGACGGACCUAACCUAUACCAUCAAGCACCACAAGCAAAGACAAAAACCUUGCGGAAACUAUUUAACUAACUCCCACAAUUGCAUAAGAAGAGUCAUGAUCCUAAGAACAGAAGGGAGAUCCCUGUUGCUUUGACUUCUUGCUGUCCUCCUGCUAUUUGGCUCAAAAUGCAAACUCAGUUAUGAGAAGUACAUAGAAGAACAGGUAAACUAAAGCCUGGGCUUUUUCACCAGAGGAUGUGGAAAAGAGGCUUCAGGAAAUUGAGAAGUAUUAUGGAGAUUGCAAAAAUGAGGGAGCUGAAGAAAGAGUUAGAAUGACAGUGAAUGUGAGAAGAGAGAGAGAUGAAUACCACGAAGUUGCGUAUGUACUGCUGGACUAUACCCUGAACUGAGCAUGUAAACAUCUGACCACAGAUGGUAUAAUAAGGCUUUGAAAACUAAGCUACAAUAAAGACCAUCACCCAGGCCAAAAAUUGCUACUUGGAAAUGCACACACAGACUGAUCCAAAUAGCAUUGAAAACACUUAAAGAAAUGGUGCAGACAUUGGAGUCACAAUCCAAAGAAGGCAGAUCAGAGUUUGUUCCAUAAGCCUGAAUAGGUUGAUUGCUUAAUAUAAGAAGAAAAUCAACCUUUUUCUUAUGAUUUAAGACAUAAUCAGAGUCUCAUAACAUAUUCUCAAAAUGCCCAGGAUAUAAUUUAAAAUUAUUUGGCAUAUGAGAAACCAGUGUGAUCGUCUCUUAACUCUUAAAGAAAAAGACAAUUAAAAAUAUCACAAUCAAAAUGACAGGAAUGUUGUAUUUAUCAGAUAAAGACAUUAAAGAGAUAUUAUAACCAUGCUCUAACAGGCAAAUGAAAAGACUCAUAAUGAAUAGAAAAAUAGAAGGUCUCAGCAAAGAGAAAGAAUAUAUGAAGAUGAAAAAUGGAAAUUUUAGAACUGGACAAUGUGACAGUCCAAAGAGAAAAUUCACUGGAUGGACUAAAUAGGAUAAUGGAGAUAACAGAGGAAAAGAGGCAGAUGACUUGAAUACCGAUCAUGAGAAAUUAACUAUUUCAAAGAAGAGAGUAAAAAGAGACUUAAAAAUAAAA